GUUCUCUGUGGAGUUCUUAAACUCUGCAAAUUUACUACUAAAAUCUGAAGUAUUUUGAAACUAGACUUGUGACUACUUCUGUCUUCCAUUAUCUUAGGAGAACAGCUCUUUCAUUCUAAGUAGCACAAUUCCCAGUAAAAAAAAGUCAAAGCCAGGAGGAAAACGUGCAAAACCACCUGAAGUGAUUGAAAUAGUGGAUGAAGAAGAUGGUGCUGAAGACAACUCGGUGCCUCUGCAAGGCUCACCUCGGUGAAAAGCAGAUGAACAAAUGAGGUGGCAGUGGUUGUUCUUCAAAUGCCUCUUUCAUGAACCUCUUUGGUUUAAAACAUUGGUCUGGAGUCAGUUUUGAGCUCUCCACACAGCUGCCUUGGCACGUUUGCCUUACUUUUAUGUUGCUUUUGGAAGAUGAAAUACUUCUUGGUUUUCUUGCUGCACAAGGGCUGUUUGCUGACCUUCUGAUUCAGGAAUCCAUUACUUGGGUGGACAUCUGUGCAACAUGGUGUAGCAAAAGAGGUGAGCUUUGUGUUUCUUCUGAGCUUCAGCGUAAGACUGUUGGAUUUCUUCAGUGUAGUGCUAUUCCCACAGCAAGUAUCAGACUAAUUUGUGCACUGUAUGGUAUCUGCACCCAGCAGUGUCUUCCUGAUGCGGUGUUCAAAAAACAGUGCUACAGUAUUUCAACAGCUGGCAUCGUUGGUUUUCAUGCAGAUGUGCUGGUUAAACUUGGUAUUUCUGUUGAAACAAGUACAUUCUGUGUUUCUUAG
rnacentral:lncRNA from 1 species